rnacentral:piRNA from 1 species
GAGGCCACGAGGGGUUUUAUGCGCCGAGC